ACCGGCGGCUCGAGUGGUGGCCACUAUUACUGGGCUUAAAGCGUUCGUAGCUGGCUUGUUAAGUCUCUGGGGAAAUCUUCCGGCUCAACCGGAAGGCGUCUCAGGGAUACUGGCAGGCUAGGGACCGGAAGAGGUGAGAGGUACUCCAGGGGUAGGGGUGAAACCCGGAAACCCUGGGGGGACCACCGGUGGGGAGGGGGCCCCACCGGGAGGCUUCCACAGGGGAGGAACGAAAGCUGGGGAGCAAACCG
rnacentral:rRNA from 1 species